UUUGAGCAGCUUUAAAUUGGAGCAUUUUUGUCAUGAAACAUUUGCAUAAUACUUCAAGCUGCAAGAUAUUUGAAUUAAAAUUAGGAAUUUUAUAAAGAUUAUAGUUUCAAACUGGAAUGAUUUGAUAAUCGGAUAAGGACCAGCACACCAUGAACGCUAAAAACAUCUAUACAGAAUUUACAAAAACGAAUCAAACACUGGGAAAAAAUAUCAAGUGCAAUUACUGGCUGCUUUGUGAACUAUUAUCUACCAAAUGGUUUUAUUAUAAUACCAUGUCCUUUGUGUCUCCAUAUUGCAUGCUUUCAACAAAGGUGGUUUGUAUUUCACCGAAGAACUACAGAAGCUCCUUUUUAAAAUAUAUAUAUAAAAGUUAAAUGCUGACAAUAAAUGCAAUAGUAAAUAUCUGAAGGGGGAAAAACUGUACAAAAUUGGAAAUAGAGAUUUAAAAACACACUGGUAAAAUUCAUACUAAAUUGUUAGAUUCUGAAACCACAGAGAUAGGAAAAGAGAGGAAAUCACUGUUUAGAGAAAGCAACCGAAUAGGUGAACUGGGGUUCUCAGAAGUCAGUGGUGGACCCUGAGACAUGGAGAGGUAAACAUGCAGCAAGAGAAGGAGCUAGAAUCAUUGGAUAAAGUAAAACUGUGGGGAGAGUAGGAGUUGCAUCAGAGAAUCAAAUCUUUGACUGCCACUUGAAAAUUAAAGCAAUCACUUAGAAGGAUUUCAUUGGAAGAAUGAAUGAUCUUGAGAUGAAAUGGAAGCUCAGGAAAGCACAUGUGACUGCAGAGCAGACAGUACACCACAGUCAAUUAUGUCUUAAAUCAUGAAGAGGAGAUUGACCUAAAAUUUCAACAUAGGAAAGGAAUAACCAAGUAGAGGAACAUGAAGGUAAAAUAAAUAUCUGAAAGGGAAUAAAAAGAGAAACACAAUAGGCUCCUGGAGGAAAUAAAGGGAAAGCAUAAUUACAUUAACCACAAAGAAGUAAACAUGACACUACCCCAACCAAUAGAGUUAGAUAAACAUAAAUGCUAACAUUGACCAUUUGAACUAGUAGACAAAAUGAAAUUACAGAUUAAAAAUAAUCAGAUAUGGGGAAAGUUGUUAAAGGUGGAUAGUGAUUAGAACGUCAACAGAGAUCCUAUCGUCAAAGGAAGGAAAAUAAAUUAUAAUGCAUUAUAUCAGAUCUGGAAAGACAAUUUCAAGAAAUAGAGGUAGUUCUCAUAGUUUCUAGCACUUGAGAGGCAGGAUGAAAAUGAUAAUGACAAAAAAACUGAUGGAAAGGUAUAUGAUGGGAGCUGAAUACUAGAUGUGAAAGAGGACUAGAAGUCUCAGAGUAGGAGGAUCCACCUAGAUAUUGGUUGGACUAUGAAAUAAGAUGAACAUAGACUUCAAAUAAAGAUAUCAGUCAGGAUUAGCUGCUGAAGAAAUUUGAGACUCCAAGAGGCUUAUUAUGCAAGAAAAAUUGGUUUAUGUGAGUAGCUAAACAGAAGGAAGAUGAUUUGUUCUAAUGACACAAAGCACAAUUGAAUUUAUAUACAAUCAAGCAAGUCAAAGGCAUGAUCCAAUAGGCUGGAAAAUUCUGACCCCCCUACAGUGUGCAUGAAUCAAAUAGAAAAUGGAGUGUUUAGAGAACGUGUCUUUUUAAACGAUAGAGAAAUUUCCUAUCUAAUUAAAGACUUAAGCAGUGCAGUGAUGGAACUUGGAACGAAGACGUCUUCAUUGCAAAAAGCUGUUUAGGCAUUAAAAAGGAAGGACAUAACUUGACGCUGUUGAAGAAAGCCAAUACCAAAAGCAGGUGAUGGGGGGGGAAAGCAAGGAGAGUACAGUUGAAAAGUGCAUUUCACAUAGAAAAGAAACAGAAACUCUGCUUGUUUAUCACUACUUUGGAAAUAAAACUAAAAGCACAAGAACAAAACUGUCACUCAGCAUUUGAUUCAGCAGUAAAUGCUCUGGAAGGACAGGAGAUGGUCUCAUUGCAAAGCAGCAAAAGUAUGGAACAGAGGAGACUUUUUAAAGUUACGAGAUGUCUGUAUAUCAGAAGACUUUAGCCAGUAUUUCUCUGGUUGAGUGAAAUUACGUCCACUUCAGUCCCAGGUGUGAUGCAUAACUCCUCCAUGAAUUUGACUCACAAUGUCUUGUAUGGAGUUCUCUUUUGCUGUAAACUGAGACUCCCUUCAUACAUUUUGAAUGACUUUUGGGCUAAUGAAAUGUAUGUGGUUCUCUCAUGAAUAAUAAACGUGUUCAGUAUCGAUACAAGGCAUUCAUCUGAGCACCACAGAAGCUAAGGCGAGCACUUAAACAUCUUCUGAAAAAAGAAAAAUUCAGAUUGCAUUACAAGUGGUGAACCUUAAACUUAAACAAUAUAUUUUUUUAUCAUGGAGCCUUCAUCUGAAAGAGGACAAGAAUGUUGUUAUUGUAUUAGAGCACCCAGUAAUGAAGGAUUUGAUGUUCUGAAUCUUAAUGUUAAAAUUGAUACUUCCUGGAUUUUCCAGGAUUUAGAAGAUGUAGAGCAUGGAAGUGCAAGGGAGUCUGAAGGGGCAGUAAACACUGCUGAAGUGGAGACCUUGAAUCUCAGAAUAAAACAGCUGGAAAAGUCAGAGCAAAAACUGAAAGACAUUUUAGAGGACUACACAAAGUCUAAUUCUGCACAAGGAAACAGAGCAAAGGAGCUGGAACUGUCACAGAAGAAACUUUUCGAAACAGUUGACCAACUGAAUGCAAAGCUACAGCAGGUAGAAAAUGCAAACCUACGUGUUAAAGGGAAGCUCCGAAACCUUCAGGUGGAACUGACAGAUUUGGUUCAAAAACAAGAAAAGGCAGAAAGAAAACAAAAAGAAAAGCUAUGGCGGCUUCAGGACCAGUUGAAGACAAAAGAGGAGGAAGUAAAGAGUCAGUCAGCAUAUUUCGAGCACUACAAACAAAAGCAGAACCAGAAGACAGCAGUGUUGAGAGAACGGGAGUUGUCCCUUCAGGGUCAUGUGUCCAGACUGGAAAAGGAAGUCCUAGAUCUCAAUGCCACUACAGCUUUUCUGUUCUCUGAGCUAGGAGAGGGAACUAUACAAUAUCUCCGAUGCAAACUGGAAGCGGUAUUCAAUGGAAUUCAUGGGUCUUUGCACUUUGAUGUGAAUAUAACUAAAAUAAAAACUCUCAUUGAAGAUGUGGAUCAUUACAUGAAAAGCCACCUACAGACACUGCAGCAAAAUCUGAAGAGGUUACAGGAAAAAGAAGAAGGUAAUAAUAGAGAACAAGCAAACCUACUAACUAAACUUCAGCACUCCCAGGACAACGAAGACUUCCUGACAAGGAAAUUAGAGGAAUCUUGCUGUCGUGUUUAUGAUCUGAAAUUGUCUGAGAUCAGCCUUCAGGAACGAGUGGAAGAACUUGUGGAAGAAAACAGCACUUUAAAGGAUAAAUUGGGAGCAAAGUUACCAGAAGAAGGGGAAAAGGAGCUAUUGCCUUCAGAAAUGGAAAAUGGAGAAAAUAAAGCUGUAAGUGUUAACUGGAAUGCUGACCUAUUUUUCCAGGAUGAGCAGCUAAAUCUGAAGAGGGAGGCAGUCUUGGAUCCAGUCAGAAACAAAGCUAGUCAAACUCCAUCUUUUCUACAACAUACCAAACAGUCUCAUACAACAGCAAAGAUAGCAUCAGAAUGUGGCUAUAGCUGGCUUAAUAAUGUGGAGGGGCUGCCAAAGGAACUUCCCGUACCAUUUUUGGAGCACAGCUCCAGUGCCUUGGUAGAAAUUGUUGAAGAACCCAGGCUAGCUGACCCUGAACAGGUCGUACUUGGUGCACAAAGAUCAGAUGGUGCUUCUCUGUUGUUUGGAUGUACUCCAAGACAGCUUAAAAACAGACAGCUAAUCUUAUCUUGCUCUGAGAGGCUAAGCAAUGAUGGGAGAAGUAAGGGGACCAAAGAAAAAGAAUAUUUCUUUCUCUUAAAGGAACAAGCUAUAAAUCAACCAGCUAAUCAUUCGCCUGUCUUCACAGUUGCCACUUUGAUUGAGCCUCAGUUUGUCUUGCUAGAACCUGAAAUCCACAAGGUCCUAGGUGUCAGAUCAGAAUCUGUUUUCCCAGUGAACAAAAUGCUGAAUUUGAAUUACAACCAGACAUAUCACAAUAACUUUUGUCUUUCUAAUGGUGUCUUGCAUGUUGUGAAAGGAUUUUCUUCUAGUAAAGAUUCUGAAGCUCUAAAGGAAAAGGUUGCUAACACUGAGACUGAAAUUUUCAAACUCCAGGUUGAAAAAGAUUAUAUGGAAAAAUGUUUGCAAAAUAAAAAAGCUAUACAGAAAAGCACAGAUGAAAAGAAAAACUCAAAUAAAGAAAUAAAUGAUGGAAAAAAUCAAAGUACAAAUGGUCCUGAGAAAUCUCAGCAAGAAGAAAAAAGGGAUGAGAAAGCACAAAUCAGAACAAUAACUUGCAUUUCUGAAAAAGCCAACAAAGUUGCACAUGAUGAAACUGGGGAGCAAGAAGCAGAACCAAAAUUUCAUACAGCAAGCAUUCCAGGUGAGCAAAACAUGUCUGUCCUACACAAGGAAUUAGAGGGAUAUCCCCAAGAGAACUCUGAACUUAAGGAUGCACAUGGAAAACAUUUAGCCAUCUGUACCUUUGAUGAAGUGAACAGAAGAUGCCUAGAAAAGAACAUUUUUGUGACAGAAGAGAAGGGUAAACAACCCGAGAAUCUAACUGACCAAAUAAAAGUGUGUCUACAAAAAAGGGUUGAACUGAAAGAAAAGAGAGAGCAAUGUCUAAAACUGUAUGAACGAGAAGAUGAGGAUAAGUCAUCAUGCAAACAAAUGACUGAUCAGAUAGAGGAAUAUAGUAAAUGCUCUCAAAAACUGUCUGCACUGAAGGAAGAUAAGUAUAUGUAUCCACUGAAUAUAUUGUCUCCUGCACAAGAGAGAAAUUUAUACUUAAACAAAGGGUUAGCACUAGAGGAAGAAUAUUCUGAACAUGUUCAUUAUCUAUCAGCAGCAGAAGAAGAAAACAAUGGGUAUACUGUGGAAAUAGAGAAGUUAGAGAAGUUAGAGGAUAUAUAUUCUCAAAGAAUAUCUGCACUGAUGAAAGAGAAUGGGAGUUACUCACAGAAGCUCCUUAUGUUACAGGAAGAGAAUGAUAGAUAUUAUCAGAAGAUGUGUGCACUAGAAGAGGAGAUAGAUGCAUAUUCUCAACACAUAUUAACAGUACAUGAAAUUGAUGUGGACUCUUCCCAAAAGUUAUUAGCCAAGGAGGAAAUAUAUGGUAAAUGUUAUAACAGUGUUUCAAAAGAAAAGAAUUUUAGGUGCCGAGGAGCGAUUUGUGUUCUCUUGGGUAAGACUGAAAUCCUUUCCAAGAACGUCUCUCGUCUGGUUAAAGAGGAAGAUAGAAAUUCUGAAAAAGAAAUACCGGUGAUGGAAUCAAAUAAAUUUCUCAAGAAAAUUGUAGCUCUUGAUGAAAAGAAGAUUAAAUAUUUCCAGCUGCUUUCUGGUCUCAAGGAGGAGAGAAAUAGCUUUUUCAGAGAAAUAGCUAAACUAUUACAAGACAAAGAAAAAUAUAUAAAAAAAUCUCAUGAACUGGAAGAAGAGAGAGAGAGAAAUUUACAGAUAAUAUCUCAACUAGAAGGAGACAGAGAAACUUUAUUGGGAAGUUUGAGUGAGCUGAAAUGUGAACAAGAUAAAUAUAUGACAAUGAUUUCUGAAUUGAAUGAGUGCAAAACCAAAUGCUACCAAACAAUUUCUGAUCUACAAGAGGAAAAACAUAUACUAAAAAAUGAUAUGGAUGGAGUCCAUAGGGAAAGUUCUGAACAGCUUCUAGAAUCUCAGAAAGUAAUUGAGAACCUUCUUCAAGAAAACAAUGAAUUGAAGGAAAUAAUGUCUGCUCUUGGAAUCAACUAUGAAGAGCUGAUAAAAGAUAAAAUUUCCGGAAUAGAAGGAAAGUUGCUAAGAUUGAAGCAAGAAAAUAAGAGUCUACCACAUAGAAUGCAAGCAAAGGAAACAGAGAUGGCUUCUGGUAAAAUACAUACUAAAGAAAAAGGAAUUCAAGUUAUAGAACACUCAGACUAUCUCACUAGAAAAGAUAAAGACACCUGUUUGGAAGAGGAUAUUGGUAGCAUUAAAGGAUAUUGUCAAGUGCGGUGUUCUAAAAACACUGAGACUUCUAAAUGCCAUUUUAGUAACGUUGGGAUAAGUUCAUUUUUGGGUGAUCAAAACAUUAUGAUCUCCAGGGUGCCCCAAAAGACUUCUGAGAGACCGGAGGUGACAAAGUUAGCCUUUGAAACAGAAGACAAAAUAUCAAGCAACAGUUUUUCUGAAUGUUGUGGUAAAGUGCUGCAGAAUAUGGAACUUGAGUCUGCAAAGGGCAGCACAUCUGAAAGCUACAGUGCAAUGCAAGAACAACUGGAAAGGUCAAAGGAAGAACUAAAAAUACAACAAGGGGAAUUAGAAAAGGCCAAAAAAGAGGCUCAGAAGUGGUACCGAGAACUUGGCUUUGUAGAAGCAAGAUAUGAAGAGGUCAGAACUCAGUUGACACAGACACUCUCUGAAUUACAUCAACUUAAACUAGCAGGUGGCGGGGAAAGGCUUAGAAAGCAGUGCUGCCAAUUAAUGAAGGAAGCCGAAGAACUAAAAGAGGAUAGGAUAGCCAAUAAGAGAUUAGAACAGCAAGUGCUGACCCUGAAAUCCCAACUAAGGGACCAGACUGUAUUACAAAGUCAGUUUCAAGACUUGCAAAACCAAGUGGAAUGCCUUCAGGCUCAGCUGCGUGAAAAGACUGAGGAACUUCAGAAAAGAAAGACUGAAGCUGACCUGACAGUAGCUCCGCUCAAGGCUAAGCUGGCUUGCCUUGUCCGGAAAUGCCAUGAAAGAAACAGCUUGAUUACCCAGCUGGUCAGGGAAUUUCACAGGCAUGGAAUUAUGGAUUCCAUUUUCAGUGAAGAGGCAAAGAAUUUGGUGAAUGACAUGGCGCUUGCAGAGUACACUACCUCCUUUACAUCUGUACGCCAUCAAGAGAGACGAUCCCAGCAAUUUGUAAUACCUGAGAAGACAGCACACAGACCAGCGUCACAGACUCUUAUGCCUGCUGGGGAAAACAGUGAUUUGCAUUUGAGUGGGUCAUUGCAUUCCAGAACCUGCACCGCUACUGCUGACUUUCAUCUGUCACCAGAGAUACCUCAAACUGUGCUUCCUGUAUUACUGCAUCCUGUUGUAGACACUUCACAGGUCAAUGGACAGCCAAAUAAUCACGGGACCUACCAGGCUGAAGUGAAUGAGAAGGCGAGGCCAGUUCCUGCAAGCUUUCUACAGAAGUCAGAUGACGUCUGCUGUGCUCACACAACUCAAAACAAGUGCACUACUUCUCCUUUAAAAUUAACAUGCCCAGAGAGGAUCAUAGACUUGCAUCGAGUGCUUAGACAAAACCAUCGCAGUAAUUACCAGAUACCUUCAUUUGCCUCUUCCAAUUCAAAACUGAAAGCAGAUUGCAAAUUGUCCUCUGUCUGUCAUCCAGCCCAAGAUGUGACUUCCCAGCCUGUAGUGUCAAAAAUGAACAAUUCACUGAAACUUUCAGACAGGAGCUCUUUCCAUCUCAUAAAUGGGAGGUACCAGUUGUCUAAAUUUGAUGACGUAUUCCAGAGUCACACAGGAAAUCAGCAUGCAGGUGCUGUUCUCCAGGGAAGGAGAAAGAAAAAUGUCAUUAUGAAUAACACAUGGAUCUCGGGAGAAAAACCAGAUGGCUCAACCUCAGCUACCACAGCAAAAAGCUAUUUGUCAGAUGUGUUGUCAGCAAGUAAUAAAGGUCAAAAUCCUACUGGGGAGAAAUCAGCUGCACUGGAAAGAGUAAAAGCCUCAGAAAUAAAACAAGGACCUCCUGCUCCAGUUGGUUCGGUCUAUAUUAUUAAAGCAGUGGGAAAAAGCAGCAUGAUGAUUGGCUGGGAGAGACCUGUAGUAGAUGAAUUAGGAUGUAGCAAUGGAACUUUCAUUACAGGAUACAGGAUAUAUACAGAUGGGGAAUUUCACAAAUCUGUUAUGAGUUCAGCCUGCACUAAGACUAUUUUAGAAAAUCUGGAUCUUUCUGUGCCAUUUCAAAUCAGCGUUCAGACCGUUGGUUCUUCUGGUUUGGUUUCUGAGAAGAUGAAUGUUCAAUUUAGUUGUCCUUUAACAAAAAAGGAAGCUUCAUCAUUUGCCUCUAGUGGUUACCCUGAAGACGAAAAGCCUGAUGCCAGCUCCCAUGAGGUGGAUGGAAGGCAAGGUUUAGCUCCAUUGUCUUCUUUGAAGAAAUUAAUUUUGGAUUACCAAAGAAGCUAAAGAAAAUACAAUGAAGGUACAGCACUCAAGCUUUGUGGGUUUCCCUAGAAACAAGAAAACAGCGAAAGUAAGGUCAGAAAUGCAGCUCCAUGACGAGUCAUUGAUUCAAAUUUGUCAGUCUCAGCUUAGGAGAACUGGAUAAAUGAAACUGCCAAGGAAUCCAACUCUUAGCUAAUUUUGGCAGGGAAGAAUGAAUCAGACAUGCAAAGAAAAAGCAAUGCAGUGCUGAAGAUAUCACAAAGGGUGUGUCUAGUCUGGCAGCCUCCACAGCUGCUUUGUUAAGGAAAAAACUGAGAAACAGCAAUGACUUACUGACCCUCAUCCUUCACUGGAAGUUGGUGAUGCAAACCAAUCAAAUAUAGAUCUUUUACAGAAUCUUAAUAUUUUAAUGCAUUUUUAGGAAAUUCUCAUAUUUUGCUCAAAUCCCAACCUUUGGAUGCCUACAUAUGUGGUUAUAGGGAGCUUGCAUAUAUGAGGGUCACAUGGGACCUCAAUCCCACUGUUUUUUAUGGGCGUUCAGGGUGCAUAGCACCUCUCAGGAUAUGGCAGUAGAUGGACUCAAUUUUCAAGGUGCCGAGUGCCUUCAACAUCCACUGGAGUAAGUGUCAUACUCAUCCCAGACCUAUAGGCACUCAGAAGUUGGAAGGAUUGUGCCCUAUGGCCUUAAUUCAGUAAAGCACAUAAGCACAUACUUACCUUCAAUCCUUUGAGCAGUCCCUUUGAAUUUUAGUUGGAUUACUCCCGUGCUUACGUUCUUUGCUGAAUCAGGUCCUGUGUGUGCGCAUCCACAAACUGGUAACAAUGCAUGCAGAACACACAUUGAUGUGUCCAAAGUGGGUAAGCACAUAUUAUUGUAUCUAUCUGCACAUGAAGAUAUGUUGGAUGUACUUGCACACAUGAGACUGGAGUGUAAGGGUACAUAUGAGUGUUUACAGUCCUACUUCAAUGGCUUGUGCAUGCUCCUGUUGAAGUCAAUAGCAAAACUCCCAUUGACUUGAAUGGGAGCAAAAUUUGGUACUAAUUUACAUAACUUCCCCCUUGUUAUGUAAUGCACAGUCAGUUUUGAUAACUAUUUUGCAAACUUUCAUUUAUGUUAUUUUAAUUGAGCUAACCUUUAAAUGUGCUGAGCUCUACAGUGGUUAGUCUCCCAGUAAUUUCAGAAAUUCUUUGAAGAGAGGAACGUGGCUAAUAAAAUAAGGAAACCCAUCUCAGUUUAAUUUUAUGUGCAUUUUUAGAUUUAUGUGCAUUUAUGGUUAGCAAUAGAUGACAAGUUGGCAUGGCAACAUUUGCAGCUUAACUACUAAUAAGCGCUCUUAAAAUAAAUCGGUGUCAUAUGUGGGUUUCUUGCCAUUAGCAUACUGUACCACCUGAAGAGAAGCAACACAUAUAUCAUUUGCAAAACAUGCAUACAAUUAGACCCUAAUUCUUAUUUUUGAAUGAAGUGUUAAACUAAGACAUCAUGCAUGUUUCCUGGCAUUUAUGAACAGUCUCCCACUAUGAAAUAUAAAUGUUGAUAAUGAACUUGUCCAUUUUUUAGUGUCUCAGGCCUUCAGCCAUUCACUCCAUGUAAAAAAAUGAUUAGCAUAAGGAAUAUAGAUUGUGCUAUGUUUCUUUUGUGGCACAUGUCACAUUCACCUCUCUUAAGUUGCACACCUCCUAAUAUCAAAAUUGUCUUCCAUAUUAUAAAAGACUAUUAGCUCAUUAAACUAGUAGAUGGGUGGAUUCAUUCUGUGUGUCAAAAGAUUUGGAAUUAAAAUCUCAUCUUUAACUCAAAUGAUAAUAAUAAAGCAGCAAAGCUAUUAAUGAGAGUUUGUGGAUUGUGGUUAGACCAGGCAGGGAGCAUAAUGAUUAAUUUCCAAUUGCCUUGUGGUGAGCAGAAAAAAACGGAGUCUCGUUAUUAUAGAAUCUGUUCAGUUCAAAAUGCUUUCACUAAGCAAACUUUGUGCAGGACAAAGGAACUAUUUUUGCCUCUCUCUCUAGUAGGCUGACCUGCUUAGGUGUGUGAUAAAUUCAAACAGGAUAAAAUGGAACAGCUACUGAUUAUCUGUAUUUGACAAGGUGCUGCUUUUCUUGUGUAUAGUAAACUACUUCUCAAAAUGUAAAACUGGGCACUUUGGUUGGCUUGAUUUAUAUGCACAAUAUCUUUCUGACCAAAUUAAUUGCAAUUAAUGUUAAGAUGCUGCUACUAAGUCCUCCUAUGUCAAUAUACCCCUUUGCUCUCACUUUCAACAAAAUACACAGAAUUGACAAACUGGACAUUUUAAAAUAUAAAAUAUGGUUUAUUUCUUAAUUCACUUAUUGCCAUACACUCUACUGUGCAGAGCAUUACAAGAUGUUAAAAAUAUAACUCAUGCCAUAUUUCUAAUCAACCAAUGGUCCUUAUAUCACCUUGGAAAAUUGAAUUCUGUUAUUUGCACCAACACAGUUGACAGAUGCUGGAAAUAUAGUGAUUGAAUCACUGAAUGAUAAUUAUGUUAAAUGUAUGCUAAUACAAUUGGCUAAGAAAUAUUUUAUACACACAAUAUAAUUCUCAAAAUAAACCUCCUAUUAAGGCAUCAUUGAUAUUUGUGGCCUAAAAAAGUGGAAAUUCUCAUCUAUAUUUCAUAAAUCUACUGUAUUUCUAGUAUGUAGGUGAAGGAUUUUAGUAUUUUGAAUUUGCAUUGGUGGAAAAAACAUGUGCAUGUUGGCUUUUGCAGCUAAUCCUUUGGAAAUCCUUUAGUGCCUUAAGGAGCCAGAGGGAGGAGAGACUUUGGGAUUAUAGUAACUUGUUCAGACCUCUUUCCUGAUUCAGCAGAAUUCCUUUAAGACAUAUUGUGCCUUGGACUCCAAACAUAUUUGCAUUAGAAAUCAGUAGUCAUGGUAUUAUGGACAGGAAUUUUUGUCCUUUUACAUAUCCUAGGUUACAAAAUCUACUGCUGUUUCCAAAGUAGGAUACAAAACUAAAACAUCGACUUCAAAUUCUACCAUUGGAAUCCAUGAUAUAAGUCAUUAUCAGCCAACUAGGAAUGUUAAAGUUGGAGUCAAACCAACAAAGAAAGUUCAGCUUAGCUCUGAUGUGCUGCAUAAAUCCUGGUUCCAUUGAAGUCCAUGGUAAAACUCCCAUUGAUUUCAAUGGGGCCAUGAUUUCACCCUGUCUUUUACUUGUGCAGCACAUAUGAUAUAUAAAUAUCAUUAACUCAUCAUCACUGCCUGUGCACAGCAGGGACAAUGUGGUCAGAGGAGAGGGGAACUAAGGAGAGUAUAGAGCUUGACUUGAUUUAGAGUUGUUACUGUGUGGUGUAAAUCUGUGCUCAUUAUUGUGUUACUAUGUCACAUGGAUUCUUGCUAUGUCAAUAUGGUAUGUAAAUGUAAAUUGCAAUGAAAGGGGUAACUGUACAUGUGUAGCAGCUGAUUUCCAAAUAUAAAUAUGUUAGCAUCUGAACUGUUUGGAUUUGUUUUUCUAUGUUGAAAGAGAGAUUAAUUUAUAUUAGGUGAAAUUCACUCUUGUGCAGAGCACCUACACAAGGCCCUAGACAACACUAAUUUAGAGUUUUAAGUGGUCUUGUGUGGGGUGAAUUUCACUUAUUAUGAAUGAAAGAUUUGGCAAUGAUGGAUACAGACGUGAAAAAAAUAAAGCCCCCCAAAAUAGUCAUCUUCUGGUCUGCUUCCUGUGACUAAAAAAGUGGAUUGGAAAAUGUGUAAAUAAUAUCACUCCUUGGCUUACACUGUAAAUGUCAAGAUUUAGCGUGGCACAGAUUUUUGUAGCUUGUUUAUAAAUAAGGCUUCUGGCUUUCGUUUUGAACACAUGAAGCCCGUGUAAAUUAAAGUAAGGAGUAAAGACUUAGAAGUAUUUGUUUGCAUUGAAAAAGAUGGAUAUUGUCUCACCUCUUGGGACCAAAUUUAAAUUGAAAGCCUUGGAUGCACAAAAUAUGGAUGAGGUCCUAUUAGCUUUUCAUCUACACAACAGUGUGAUGUUAGCUAGGAGUCAUGAAAAGCUGAUAGUUAAGGACACAAAUUAGAACCAGUUUGAAAAAGUGCCGAAGAAUGCACAAAAAACUUGGGCUUCAUCGUUUGAUAUAGAUUACCCAAAAGUGACAGCUGGAUCCUUUAUGAAAUUGUUGUAAAUAAAUGCAGAAAGCUUGACACUCUUAUUUGUAAACCCCUAUCAGUAGGAAUUAAAAUGGAACAGCUAAUUGUGUUCACUUGAGUGACAUAAAAGAUGCUAUUAUCAUUUUGAUGUGUUACACUGAAGCCAUCUUGUUUACAUUUUUCAGCAAUGAAUUUCAUUUUAGGACAUUUCCUUCAUGUAAUGAAAUGUACAUAUAUGUUAAUUUCAAAGUAACUAGAGAGGAGACGGACAGAAUUGUAAUGCAGUCACAAAGUCUACCUUAUGAUUAUUACAGAUUUGUAACUAUCACUUAAAAUUGUGUAAAAUAUGUUGACAUUUUAUCUUGUUAUCCAGAUGUAUUUUUCUAUGUUAGUUAAAUGUAU